NNNNNNNNNNNNNNNNNNNNNNNNNNNNNNNNNNNNNNNNCCAAAUUUUGGGGUAAAUUGAGGUGUUAGGGGGGGCACAGAGCAUCGAACCCCCCCAAAAUGCCCGGUCCGGGCACACAAAGCCCUUUGGGCCCCCCCGCCCGGUUUCGCCACGCCGGCAUUGCCACAUGCCCGCCCCCCCCCGCACCCCCCCGGUCACGGGGGUCGGAGCGGCGGCCGCGCUGCCGUGCCUCAGUUUCCCCAUCCCGAACCCCUUCCUCGCCGGGCUUUGUUUCCAUGGAAAACAAGAAAUUGGGGUGGGGGUCCUGAAAAUUUCUAUUUCCCCCCCCCCGCCCGGCAGGAGGGGAAGGCGACUUCCUCAUCCUCAUCCUCGCGUCACCCGGAGCUCGGGCGGAAAGGAGGAUGAGGAAGAGUCGGGGCCAAGUUUGGGGCGGCGGAGAAGUUUGGGGAGGGGGGGAGACACACGGGGGUCCCCAAAGCUGCGGGGUGGGGGGGUUCUUGUAGCAGGCAGCACCCCCCGAUGCACAAUGGGGAGCAGCUGGGACCCCUCCCCAUUUCCAUUGGGACCCCCCCAGGUGCGGAACCCCCACAUGCACCCCGAGCAUCACCCCAAAAAUCACACCAAAAAAAACCCAAAUCACACCAAAAAAACCCCAAAAAAUCCCCGCGGCCGCCUGGGACAGAGCAGAGACCCCCAAGUUUGGGUGAGGAAUGGGGCGACCCCUCCCUCUCCCCCAAACAGGAGCAGGGAGGGAAGAGCCCCCACACCCCAAAAUGGGCUGGGAAAUGGGGGGACCCCGCUCGGGGGGGCUGCGCUGCCGGGACCCACCUUGGCGCGAUCGCUCCUGACUCGCGACAGCGACUCGAUACGGGACAUAAUCCAGGGAGCGCUCCCGGCUCCCUCCCGGUGCUCCCCGGUGCUCUCCCGGCUCUUUCCCGGCUCCUUCCCGGUCCCCUCCCGGUGCUCCCGGUCCCUGCCCGGUCCCCGCCGGUCCCGCCCUCCCGGGGGCGGGUGGCGCCGCCCCCCGGCCUCGUGCUGCCCGCGGGGCCUUUGUUCGCGCGGGGUCCCCGGGAUCCGGCCGGGAUCGGCGCCCCGGAGCCUCCCCCCGGGAUCCGCAUCCCCCGGCAC
rnacentral:lncRNA from 1 species